rnacentral:lncRNA from 1 species
GCUCUCUCCUCCCUUGGCCUCUCUCACCUCCCUCGUGAUCUCUCACUAAAUCCUGCUGUUUUCAAUUCCAUGUCGCUUGGAUCCUGCCUUCAUGUCUGGUUCCCAGAUACAAUUCUGCUGCUGUCGGCCCUCCAGAUACAAUUCUGCUGCUGUCGGCCCUGAGGGUCACACCAGGACUGUGCUCCACCCUUCAUCCUGGUUCCAUCCUUGCGGGAUAUAUCUCCCACUUCGAAAAUCACCUCCCUUUCAUGUGGGUGAUCCCAACACUCCCUUCUCCCCGGGGCCACCUGUGGCUUCAAAGACACACACUAGCCCGAUGUGGCCAGGAUUGGCCUCAGGUGUGCUUCCCAGGCUUCAUUCUCUCUGGACCAGCGGCUACUUAGGGCCUACUCUUCUCAGAAGAGAGCCCAGGAAUACAGAGCAAGAUGAAACACAGGAUGCCUCGGAUGGCCUUGACCCAGAACUGUCACAUUGUCACUAUCCACAUUUCCAAAGCAAACCGUGUGGCCAAACCCAGCAUCACUGAGAAGCUGCCUGUAAGUGGGAGGAAUUGCAGUCACUUGGUAAUUGGAGGGGAGGGAGGUGGGGAGGAGUGGGAGUGGAUAAUACAAAUAUCUCUGCAUGGGAGUGGGGCACGAAGAACCGGGAACAGUAACCAACCUGUCACACUCCCUUUACCUUUCUGAACCCAGGCUCAGACAUUAGGAGUGGAUGGACAUUAGGAGUUGCUCUGGCCAUGCCCCCACCAUGUGGGGCUGGCCUGAGGAUGAAGCCCGUGCCCAAAAAUCAGUUCCUGGAUCUAGUGGUCCGGCUCCAUCCCUGCCUUCCCAGGUUUUAGUUAUCAGUUACUGAACUUCCCUUUGGUUUGGGAUUCUGUCACUCACUCGCCAAGAGGACCGGCAAGUUUCUUCUCUUACCUCUCAAGUGGUCCUUGUUGGCCUUGUGUUCUGCACUCCGCUCUUCUCUCUCUAGAAAAGGAAGGAGUCAGCAAACUCUGGUUUGUGCCAGCCACCUGUUUUUUGUAAACAAAGCUUUAUUGGAACACAGCCAUGCACAUUAAUUUACAUACUGCCUGUAGCUGUUUCUGCACUGCACCGGGAGAGUUGGAUAGUUAUGGUAAGAGACCAUAUGGUCCACAAAACCUAUUUACUAUUUGGCCCUUUAUAGAAAAAGUUUGCCUGGUCCUACUCCAAAAGAUGGAGGCCAUGUGGUUUCCCUGGCCAGUCUCAUCCACCUGCACACUGGUGACUCCCAAAUCUCUCUGGCCCCAGACCUCACCCCUGCAUCUUAGGAUAAUCGUGCACAUCGUUUUCUGCUCAGAUGCCCCACAAGCUCCUCAAAUUCAAGGAGCCUUCAACUCCAGCUGAGCUCACCCUCUCCCCCUAGACAGAAUCCUCUUUCCUAGUCCCCAGUGUGGGCAAGUUGUGCUGUCUUAGCAGCCAGUAGCCUAAACUAGAACACAAUCAUAGACUCUCUCUUCUCUCUCCUCCCCCUACUUCCCAGCUCCUCCC